GACGAACGCUGGCGGCGUGCCUAAUACAUGCAAGUCGAGCGGACUUUAAAAGCUUGCUUUUAAAGUUAGCGGCGGACGGGUGAGUAACACGUGGGCAACCUGCCUGUAAGACUGGGAUAACUUCGGGAAACCGGAGCUAAUACCGGAUAAUCCUUUUCCUCUCAUGAGGAAAAGCUGAAAGACGGUUUACGCUGUCACUUACAGAUGGGCCCGCGGCGCAUUAGCUAGUUGGUGAGGUAACGGCUCACCAAGGCGACGAUGCGUAGCCGACCUGAGAGGGUGAUCGGCCACACUGGGACUGAGACACGGCCCAGACUCCUACGGGAGGCAGCAGUAGGGAAUCUUCCGCAAUGGACGAAAGUCUGACGGAGCAACGCCGCGUGAGUUGAUUGAACGGUUUUCGGAUUCGUAAAACUCUGUUGUUAGGGAAGAACAAGUACAAGAGUAACUGCUUGUACCUUGACCGUACCUAACCAGAAAAGCCACGGCUAACUACGUGCCAGCAGCCCGCGGUAAUACGUAGGUGGCAAGCGUUGUCCGGAAUCAUUGGGCGUAAAGCGCGCGCAGGGCGGUCCUUUAAGUCUGAUGUGAAAGCCCACGGCUCAACCCGUGGAGGGUCAUUGGAAACUGGGGGACUUGAGUGCAGAAGAGAAGAGUGGAAUUCCACGUGUAGCGGUGAAAUGCGUAGAGAUGUGGAGGAACACCAGUGGCGAAGGCGACUCUUUGGUCUGUAACUGACGCUGAGGCGCGAAAGCGUGGGGAGCAAACAGGAUUAGAUACCCUGGUAGUCCACGCCGUAAACGAUGAGUGCUAAGUGUUAGAGGGUUUCCGCCCUUUAGUGCUGCAGCAAACGCAUUAAGCACUCCGCCUGGGGAGUACGGCCGCAAAGGCUGAAACUCAAAGGAAUUGACGGGGGCCCGCACAAGCGGGUGGAGCAUGUGGUUUAAUUUCGAAGCAACGCGAAGAACCUUACCAGGUCUUGACAUCCUCUGACACUCCUAGAGAUAGGACGUUCCCCUUCGGGGGACAGAGUGACAGGUGGUGCAUGAUUGUCGUCAGCUCGUGUCGUGAGAUGGUUGGGUUAAGUCCCGCAACGAGCGCAACCCUUUGAUUCUUAGCUUGCCAGCAUUCAGUUGGGCACUCUAAGGUGACUGCCGGUGACAAACCGGAGGAAGGUGGGGAUGACGUCAAAUCAUCAUGCCCCUUAUGACCUGGGCUACACACGUGCUACAAUGGAUGGUACAAAGGGCAGCAAAACCGCGAGGUCGAGCAAAUCCCAUAAAACCAUUCUCAGUUCGGAUUGUAGGCUGCAACUCGCCUACAUGAAGCUGGAAUCGCUAGUAAUCGCGGAUCAGCAUGCCGCGGUGAAUACGUUCCCGGGCCUUGUACACACCGCCCGUCACACCACGAGAGUUUGUAACACCCGAAGUCGGUGGGGUAACCUUUUGGAGCCAGCCGCCUAAGGUGGGAUAGAUGAUUGGGGUG
rnacentral:rRNA from 2 species